UGCCAGCCGCCGCGGUAAGACAGAGGGUGCAAACGUUGUUCGGAAUUACUGGGCGUAAAGCGCACGUAGGCGGUUUGAUAAGUCCGAUGUGAAAGCCCACGACUCAAUCGUGGAAGUGCAUUGGAUACUGCCAGACUAGAGUGUUGGAGGGGAGAACGGAAUUCCUGGUGUAGAGGUGAAAUUCGUAGAUAUCAGGAGGAACACCGGCGGCGAAGGCGGUUCUCUGGACAACAACUGACGCUGAGGUGCGAAAGCGUGGGGAGCAAACAGGAUUAGAUA
rnacentral:rRNA from 1 species